rnacentral:rRNA from 1 species
AUGGGUUGGAACCCACAAGUGUUGUGUUGGAACGUGAGGGGUUUGAACCACCCGGCCAACAGGAAUGCGGUGAGAGACUUUGUAGUGGGGGCGAAAGUUAACCUCGUGUGUCUACAAGAGACGAAACUAGAUGUAAUCGAUCCAUUCAUAGCAUUGCAAUACAUUGGACCAUCCUUUCAUGGUUUCGCUUACUUACCGGCUUCGGAAACUUGA